rnacentral:misc_RNA from 1 species
UCUUGUUCAGAAUUCUCAGGCACGAGGUGAAUGCUUUGGUAGGAUUACUAUUGAGGCGAUGGCGUUUCAGCUGCCUGUGUUGGGAACUGCUGCUGGUGGCACCCAAGAAAUUGUAACAAAUGGAACAACUGGUCUUCUACAUCCUGUGGGGAAAGAAGGGAUAAUGCCUCUUGCAAAAAACAUUGUUAGAUUAGCCACUCACGUUGAGAGGAGGCUUACAAUGGGUAAAAAAGGGUAUGAGAAGGUUAAAGAGACUUUUCUGGAGCAUCACAUGGAAGAAAGAAUUGCAGGAGUUCUAAAGGACGUGUUGCAAAAAGCAAUGGAACAUCAAAGGACAUGAUAAUUUAUUGUGAUUGGCGUUCUCAGCUGGAGCUGCAUUUUGUAGUGUGAUGUGGAAAUUGCAAGCUAUGAGUAACAACAGGAUGGAGAACCGAACAGUUCAAUGUCCUCUUGCUUAUAUAUUUUCCAAGUGUAAAAAAGAAACGACUUUUUCAUCCUUGAUGUUGUCAAUCUGGUGUCUGAAGG